rnacentral:lncRNA from 1 species
GAGUGUAAGCUGCUAUAUGAAGGGAUCCACAAGAGGAAUAAUUAAGGGGGACCUCUGAUCAACAGCCAGCCAGAAACUGAAUCCCUCAGACCUACAACUCACAAGAAACUGAAGCUGAAGCAGAUUCUUCCUCAGUCAAGCUUCAGGUGCCCAGCUGGAUUGGUAGAGGAGAACAACCGCACCCUCUGCGGCACAGCACCUGGAGAGGAACUGCUGCCAUGACCAUAAAGGACACCCUCUGGAUACAAUGCCAGACUUGAUGCAGGACUGACCAACCUAUGGACCCCAGGCGCCACCACCCAGACCUGCUCAGCACCUGAAACAUUCACAGCCGUGGAGAGAACUGUUCACUGCUACCAUCCAUACUUCUGGGCCCCUUCAGCAGCACAGUGACAAGGAAGAGGGAAAUCAACUUGGAAAAGAGGGGACCUCUGACCCAAGAGUUUGGUCAAUGCAUAUGUUGGCAGCCAACUGCACACAGCACCAAAUACGAACUUCAAAGAGAAGAAAGCCACAUUUGCAAGAAAGCUCAUGCACAGACUGUAAAUAUUUCAGAGCAGAUUGUGUCUCUGCAGAUUAACAAACAAGUUACUUUUCCAGUAUGACAAUGUUGUGACAAGAUCAGAAGCCAGCUUUCUCACCAUUAAAUCAAAGUCUUAUCAAUAUGUGCUGACUUUUAUGGAAAGAAACCUGAAAUUACGCAGAAAUGCCUUCUGCAAGAAGUGGCUAGUAUGGUGGCUUCAAGAACAGUGACAUUUUCCAGUAUGUCCGUUGUUCUAAGACGUUAGGUACAUCACAAUUACCUAGAAAACUUGUUAAAACACAGAAGUCUGGGCUCCCCCUCUAGGCCAACCCCCAAUCCCAGAGGGUUUCUGUUUCCAUGGGUCUGAAAUACCACCUAACGAUUUGCAUUUCUAACAAAUUUCUGCAUGAAGCUGCUGGUCUGAGGACCACACUUUGACAACCAGCGCACUACGUUAAGCUAUCUGGAGAAGCUGCAAAUGCAGAUAAAGAAGCUACAAAUUUUUCUGUGUCAACAAAAAUUGACUGACGAGGGUGACCUUCGGAUCAUAUUUUCAAUGUUUAUGAAGCUGGUCUCAUUAUCAGAAGCAAAUGGCUUCAAGAACUUCAGCCUGAGGAAGGAAACAUGAGCCCUAGGCAUAUCAGGCUACAACCAUGUUUGGAAUGAAUCUAGGUGCAAAUCUCAGUGGAGAAUUAACUGUACCAAUAUUUUAAUUAGGAUUACUAUUGUUUUGUUACUUCUCUGAUUACAAGGUUCUAUAGGUUUUGAAUGAUCCACUGUAACCCUGUUUCUUUUCCAUAAGUCGUGUAGUUUUUAGCAUGUAAUUAUGCAGACCAUAAGGUUUUUCAGGAAUACUAAUAUGGCAUUAGAUUAGAAAUGCUAUAUUAAAAAUUCUUAUUAAAUCUAGUGAUAGUAACCAAAAAAUAGAAGAUUCAGAAGAACUAGCAAAUGUGGAGAGAAUGGAUGAAAUGGAAGCAGUGUGAACCUAGUGAAUACUUGCCAAGCUGUAUCUCCCCUGAAUUUGUCAAAACAUCAUCUCCAGCACCUGAGCUAGAUCAGCCCUCAGUGCUAACAUUGAUGUGAUUAAAAAGAGUCUGAACUGGAAGCAGAAUUCCUUCAGGUAUUUUGUUAAUAAAAUAAAGCCCUCCAUCUCUCCUCAAAUUAAACAA